GACGAACGCUGGCGGCGUGCCUAAUACAUGCAAGUCGAGCGAAGUUUUUCUGGUGCUUGCACUAGAAAAACUNAGCGGCGAACGGGUGAGUAACACGUAAAGAACCUGCCUCAUAGACUGGGACAACUAUUGGAAACGAUAGCUAAUACCGGAUAACAGUAUUUCUCGCAUGAGAGAUAUUUAAAAGUUGGUUAUGCUAACACUAUGAGAUGGCUUUGCGGUGCAUUAGCUAGUUGGUGGGGUAAAGGCCCACCAAGGCGACGAUGCAUAGCCGACCUGAGAGGGUGAUCGGCCACACUGGGACUGAGACACGGCCCAGACUCCUACGGGAGGCAGCAGUAGGGAAUCUUCCGCAAUGGGCGAAAGCCUGACGGAGCAACGCCGCGUGAGUGAAGAAGGAUUUCGGUCCGUAAAGCUCUGUUGUUAGGGAAGAANGGAUAUGUAGUAACUAUACAUAUAAGAGACG
rnacentral:rRNA from 1 species